AGGCCAGAAUGCAGUUUUAAAUGUGAU
rnacentral:piRNA from 1 species